UACGUAGGGUGCAAGCGUUGUCCGGAAUUAUUGGGCGUAAAGAGCUCGUAGGCGGUUUGUCGCGUCUGCUGUGAAAACCCGAGGCUCAACCUCGGGCCUGCAGUCGAUACGGGCAGACUAGAGUUCGGUAGGGGAGACUGGAAUUCCUGGUGUAGCGGUGAAAUGCGCAGAUAUCAGGAGGAACACCGGUGGCGAAGGCGGGUCUCUGGGCCGAAACUGACGCUGAGGAGCGAAAGCGUGGGAGCGAACAGG
rnacentral:rRNA from 1 species